GGGAGUGGGUUGCAAAAGAAGUAGGUAGCUUAACCUUCGGGAGGGCGCUUACCACUUUGUGAUUCAUGACUGGGGUGAAGUCGUAACAAGGUAACCGUAGGGGAACCUGCGGUUGGAUCACCUCCUUACCUUAAAGAAGC
rnacentral:rRNA from 4 species